rnacentral:lncRNA from 1 species
AGUCGUCGCGUAAAUCUAUGUUUAUAAUAUUUAUAAUUGGAAAUCUCCUUUCGUUCUAAAAAUAGAUCCCUGCAUCAAGUAGCUGAAAUGGGUCCCUGUUGGAGUUUUCCCGUUGCUCAAUAGGUACACGUGUUUUUGAAAACAUUUCGGUCUUCUCUGCGUUUAUCCAAUUAGCGUGUGUCAUUUAGUCAUAUUUUGUUUGCAUUGCUCGAGAUUUAUCAUAACAUACAUUGAAUUAAAACGAAAGUGAAUGUCCGGUAAAAAUAUUAAAUAGAAGCAUGUUUUCUGCUUCUUUUGAAAAGCUGAGGGAAAGUUAUGAUAACAAGACUCAGCCAGUGUUUUAGGAAGCGUCCAUCGAAAGCACGGGCGUGUGUGCGUACCUUCUAACGAGAACAUUGCUAAUAAACACGGGGUUUCGUCAAAAACGAAAUCAGUUGGAAAAAGUGAAAGGCCAAAUCAAUUAUGACAUGAUAAAGCAUGAGAAAACAAAAGUUCUAAUAAAAGACAACUAAACCCAGAUUUAUAUAAAUUGAAUAAACCAAAAUCAUUCAAGUAU